UACGAAGGGGGCUAGCGUUGUUCGGAAUUACUGGGCGUAAAGCGCACGUAGGCGGAUACUUAAGUUAGGGGUGAAAUCCCAGGGCUCAACCCUGGAACUGCCUUUAAUACUGGGUAUCUCGAGUCCGAGAGAGGUGAGUGGAAUUCCGAGUGUAGAGGUGAAAUUCGUAGAUAUUCGGAGGAACACCAGUGGCGAAGGCGGCUCACUGGCUCGGUACUGACGCUGAGGUGCGAAAGCGUGGGGAGCAAACAGG
rnacentral:rRNA from 2 species